rnacentral:lncRNA from 1 species
AGCAUUGUUCAAGAUUUGAGAGAUGGGCUUGGGAGCUUGUCCAGGAGGAGUUUCGAUUUCAGGCUUCACCACAAAGGGAAGUCUCAUGGCUCUUCCUUCCGUGAGUACUCGUCUUCCCUUGACCUCUCGCCUUUGAUAGUUCAGACAAGCAGAUGGGCUAAUCUUCCUCCGGAGCUGCUCUUGGACGUGAUCAAAAGACUAGAGGAGAGUGAGAGUAACUGGCCUGCAAGGAAACAUGUCGUGGCUUGUGCUUCUGUGUGUCGGUCUUGGAGAGCUAUGUGCCAAGAGAUCGUCCUGUGUCCAGAAAUCUCUGGGAAGCUCACUUUUCCAGUCUCCCUCAAACAGGUUCGCUCAAUUUUUUUGUGUCUUGUGAACAUGAUUUUGUUAAAUUCAAACAACUAAUGAAAAAAGUUUAUGUCUACUACUGUUGUUGAUUCUUUGCAGCCAGGACCUCGUGAUGCGAUGAUUCAGUGUUUCAUCAAACGAGAUAAAUCAAAGCUAACCUUUCAUCUUUUUCUUUGUUUAAGUCCUGGUAAGCUUUGAUUGUUAGGACAUAGAUAUGCUUGUGUUUCGGAUUCACUUAGUUAAACUAUGAUUUUUUUUUUUUUGUUUCAGCUCUAAUUGUGGAGAAUGGGAAGUUUCUUCUUUCAGCUAAACGGACUCGUAGAACUACUCGGACCGAGUACAUUAUCUCCAUGGAUGCUGAAAACAUCUCAAGAUCUAGUAACUCUUACCUCGGAAAGCUCAGGUUCUGUCUGAAUCUUUGCUCUCUUAAGUGUGAUUUUGUUUUUUUUUUUUUAAUACUAGCUUAGUGUGAUUCACAUUCAUAUGUUUCUUUCUUUCUUUCCAGAUCAAACUUUCUUGGGACGAAGUUCUUGGUGUAUGAUACACAACCACCACCAGACACAUCAUCUUCUUCUUCAAGUGCACUUAUCACUGACCGAACAAGCAGAAGCAGGUUUCACUCGAGGAGAGUUUCCCCCAAAGUCCCAUCCGGAAGCUACAACAUUGCUCAAAUCACAUACGAGCUCAACGUGCUGGGCACACGCGGGCCACGGAGAAUGCACUGCAUCAUGAACUCCAUCCCAACUUCAUCUCUCGAACCGGGAGGCUCGGUUCCUAACCAACCUGAGAAGCUCCUCCCACCACCACCACGCUCCUUUGACGACUCGUUCCGCAGCAACAUCUCGUUCUCCAAGUCAUCAUUCGACCACCGCUCCGUAGAUUUCAGCAGCUCUAGAUUCUCGGAAAUGGGAGUGCCCUGCGAGGAAGACCAAGGAGAGACGAGUUUCAAACCGUUGGUUUUGAAGAACAAGCAGCCUAGGUGGCACGAGCAGUUGCAAUGCUGGUGUCUGAACUUCCGUGGACGUGUGACGGUUGCGUCCGUUAAGAACUUCCAGCUCGUGGCCGUGAGACAGCCGCCGCCAACGCAAGUGGCAGGCAGCUCAGCACCAGCGGCUCCUCCAGAGCAAGAUAAAGUGAUACUCCAGUUUGGUAAAGUGGGGAAGGAUAUGUUCACAAUGGAUUAUAGGUAUCCAUUGUCGGCGUUUCAAGCGUUUUCUAUUUGCUUAAGCAGCUUUGACACGAAGCUCGCUUGUGAAUAAAGAAGAAACAACACUCGUCAUCUCCUUUCUCCUAAACAUUCAUGCUAAUCCUUAUGUCUCUCUUUAUCUUAUUCCUUUUGGGUUUCUUUUGGCGAACUCAUUUUGUCUUAAUACUCAGUUGUUACUGUGGUGAGAACCAGACGUCUACUAUUAACCUCUUCUCUAUUCUAAAUCAUUUGAAAACAUUUAAUGUGCAAUCUUAACCAAGCUUACACACUAUUUACUUUGAAGGUAUGUGAUAAUAUGAAGGGCAAUUGUCAAUAAUAGCACAUUUUGAAGUUUAUGUCUCAAAAAUGGCACUAGAAGGAGAAAAUCACAAAAAUAACAUUCAUUAAAGGAUAAAAUAUCCCUAAUACCCUUGGUUUAAAAUUAAAUAAACAAACAAAAAUAAAUAAAAAUAAAUAAAAUAAAAAUAAAAAAAAUAAAAAAAAAGAAUUUUUUUUAUAGUUUCAGAUUAUAUGUUUUUAGAUUCGAAAUUUUUAUAAUUUUUUUUUUGAAAUUUUUUUUCAAAUUUUUUUUUUUAUUUUUUUUCAAAUUUUCUUUUUAUAAUUUAAAAAUACAUUUUGAAACUGUUUUUAAAAUUUUUAUUUUUUAUUUUUUAUAAAAUUUUAAACCCUAAUUCCAAAACCCCACCCUUUAACUCUAAACCCUAAGGUUUGGAUUAAUUAACCCAAGGGGUAUAAGUGUAUAUUUACCUCUUUAAUGAAACCUAUUUUUGUGACUUUGAGCCUUGAGUGCUACUUUGGGAACAAAAACUUGGUUUGGUGCUAUCCUUCCCCCGAACCUCGUCAAUGAUUCUCCCACCACAGGGACACCUUGUCGGAAUCUCGUAUUCUGAAUCAGCCACGUAUCCUUGCAUAUUGAUGAACUAUUGGUCGUAGGUUGAUUGUUGCCUGUAACUAGAAGUCCAAACUAAAAAGAGCAGUAGCUAAAAUUUUUGCUAAAAUAUUUCAACGUAACGUGUACAUGUGAGAAUGUGUACGGAAAAACACUAGGAGAGAAUCAUGACACGUGCAAAUAAACUAUCGGUCAAACCUGGCAACGGGGACAUUUUUAUAUAUACCCACAUACAAAAGAGAAACUAGAAAAGAGAGAAGAAAUUGAGAGAGAGAGAACGAUGAAGACACAAGUGACUAUAGUAGCGGCUCUUAUGAUUCUGGUGGCUUUGUCUUCCACCUUGGAUAUGGUGACGGUAACAGAGGCUCAAGUAAACUGCAUCGACAGUUGCACCACCGGCUGCGUCAAGCCCACCCGUGAGUAUUUUCUUCUUAGUCUCCCAUACCAUCCAUUUACGUAAAUCCCUUUUAAUAUUUUAUACUUCCAGCAAAAGAGACGAUCCGAUGCCACCACGAAUGCGACAAAAAGUGCAGCCGAGGUAAAGUUACUAAAGUAUAUUGUAUAACUCUCUACCGGACCGGUUCGUGAUACCUCUUUCAUCACUAACCGGUUGGUUAAGGUUGUAGGAUGCGUUCUAAUCUACCAUGUAACUUAUCAGUAUUUUCUAUCCAUGAAGCUAAUUAAUACCGUGUUUGUCUACUAUGAUCAUGACGAAACAUUGGAAUUCGUUACAUACAGAUACUUAUUUUAUUUGAGGCCCUGUUCGUUUGGCAGUUGCUAGCGUCAGCGACCAGCGUCCGCGUCUAAAAAUUAGUUGGACUCGGACCUGACAUUGAUGUACUUUUGUAAUUACAGGUGGUAAAGGAGGAAGUGAGACUGGCGCUUAAACUUUGUUUUCACUAAGAUCCACAAAGAUACAAUUGUGUUGUAAUCUUAUCUUUAUAAUCCUCUCUUUCUAAAACGUACUAUGCAUAUUGUAAGUUGUAACCAAUAAAUCAAGUGGUUGUAGUUCAUCGUUGUGUUAAAAUGGUAAAGGAUUUGUCCCAUGGAUCAAAUCCUCCCACCAACUGUGGACCUCCUUGUUGGCUUUCUAUAUAGUCUAUGUAAACGCUUUAAAGGAAAAUUAUUCAGUUUUCUACAUGCUCGGUUAUUAAAACAUAAAAAAUAACAGCUACAAUGUUUAAUUGAGAGCUAGUUCCUACUUGUAUUAACUUAAUUGUAGCCAGUUUGCAAUACAACUUAACAUCCAUGUUUGAAUUACGUCGAACUCACGUCUUGUCUUUUGUUUCUCCAUUAGAUACAAUACAAUCAUACAACUCUAGGGUAGGCCAAGCCGAAAGGCACAUGGCCCACUUCCAAAUUUACAAUAGUAAGGCGGGUCCAUUUUAAAAUAUACAAAUAUGUAUUACUUCAACAAAUAGACCUAAAAAUGUUUUACAAGUAUAUUAUCAAGACUUCAAUUUUGUAACUAGAAUUUGAGAUCAAAUUAAGCAACAACGUAUAUGACCUAGUCGUAUAUUUGAAUGGUAGAUGGCGCCUACCUAUGUUGGUCAAGGCGAGAAAAUGAGUUCCACCAAUACACUAAAAAUAAACUGAUACUCCUAAACAAACUUAGGUUUCGGAAUCUAACACAAUGCCUUAAAUAGUACUCCAAAUCGAACAAAGUUUGGCCCCAUAAUAUACUACAGCGAUCAAAGAAAAAAAAAGGAUUAGAUACGUGAUUUUUGGCUAUGCAGAAGAGAUAUAUACGUGAGGGUCGGAAGAUUUUAGACGAAUUGCAAAGGAGUCUUCAGAAUGAUCUUCGAACUUCAAAUUGCUUCUUGGAUGCUGACUUGACCGGUUUAUGUAAACUAUUUAUUGGGAAAAGAUCCAAUAUCAGUAAACCGAACGUAAACCAGUUUAUAUGAUUCAAGUUUGUGAAAACUCUAGAGGAGAGUGAAUAAUGCCAAAACAUCCUCUUAGUAUAUAGUUUUAGAUAGACUAUACAAUACCAACUCUAACAAAUAUUUAUUCAUAUCCUUUAAUUUGAUCACUAAGAUACUUAUUUUUUAUUUUUAGACUAAGAUAUUAUUAUUUGGAGAACUAUUUAAAUCAACAAUGUUCUGUUUUCAGUGAUAAGACUCCAAGUUCAACGGUGUCUAAAUCUCUUUUAAUAACAAUUUGAUUAAAAGUUUAUAACAAACAAAAAAAGAGAUGUAAAAAGUCAACAUUAUCGUUGGGUCUUUGCUUGAUGCAAGGCGUAGGUCAUGCGGCCUUGUGGACAAUAAUGCUUCAAAAUGUCCACUUAUUACAAUUUUCAUUCUCUUUCUCUCUCUCUCUUAAAGAAAUGCAAAUAUUUUAAAAAAUUAUCAUUAUAAAUUCGAUAAUAAAAUCCAGAGAAGAAGCAUUUGAGAGUAUAAUCCAAUUAAAAAGUUAAAAACUUUUUUAUUCUUUAAUUAUUUUCUUGCUGUCUCGUGAAUGAACUAUUAAAGAAAAAUCAAGAAAAGCUCCUGAGUACUGGAAAAGAAGAAGAAGACUUUAUCUUUCUGUGUGUGUGGUUCUUUGACUUUUAUGGGUUCUUUUGUUUUAGUUUUAGGCUCCUACGGAUCUGCUUAAAUCCUUGUGAUCUUGUUUCUUGUUUAGACACCAGAUUCUGUUCUACUUUUGCUAAGUUUCUUGAUUUGGUCGGAGAAGUUUUUAAGUAGGUUUGGUGGUUCAAGAUUUAAGCUUCUGGGUUAUCAUCACCUCCUUGUCUGAAAGGUUCAUACUUAACCCUUUCUCUUUCUGUCUUUUUAUGUUUUCAUAUGCACCUAACCUUAAAUCACAGGUUCUUGUAACAGUUUCAUCUGAAAACUAACUAAAAUCUUGACUUUAUAGGAAGUAAGUAAAUCAGAUGAGUUUUUGUUGCAGUUUCCAGAUUUAAUUUAUGUAUGUUACAUAUGAAUCGGUUUUAUGUGAUCUGGAUAUAGCAUUUGGUGAAUUGAUGUCAGAUUCUCUUUGAUUAACUAUUAUGUGUCAUAAAGAAAAAAUGUUCAUGGUUUGAUUAAAAGCUGGCUCUAUGUGGCCUAGUUUCUUUAUUGGGCAUGCGAUAGUUAUAUCUUUUUCUUUCCCAAAGCUGUAGCCAGUCUUCUUUCUCUUUUGGCUCUUUUACUUUUUUUUUUUUAAAUUUAUUUCUUACUUAUUAAGGAGAGGUGACUCAGAUUUGCCAGGAUUUGUUUUCUUAUGUAACAGCCACUGGAUUCUCUCAUCUCAAUCUGAACAGUUCUGGUUUGUAAAGAAAGAGAAAUGUCGUUUAGGAGCAUUGUUCAAGAUUUGAGAGAUGGGCUUGGGAGCUUGUCCAGGAGGAGUUUCGAUUUCAGGCUUCACCACAAAGGGAAGUCUCAUGGCUCUUCCUUCCGUGAGUACUCGUCUUCCCUUGACCUCUCGCCUUUGAUAGUUCAGACAAGCAGAUGGGCUAAUCUUCCUCCGGAGCUGCUCUUGGACGUGAUCAAAAGACUAGAGGAGAGUGAGAGUAACUGGCCUGCAAGGAAACAUGUCGUGGCUUG